UACGUAGGGGGCAAGCGUUGUCCGGAAUCAUUGGGCGUAAAGCGCGCGUAGGCGGCCCGGUAAGUCCGUUGUAAAAGUCGAAGGCUCAACCUUCGAAAGCCGAUGGAUACUGCCGGGCUAGAGUCCGGAAGAGGCGAGUGGAAUUCCUGGUGUAGCGGUGGAAUGCGCAGAUAUCAGGAGGAACACCCAUAGCGAAGGCAGCUCGCUGGGACGGUACUGACGCUGAGGCGCGAAAGCCAGGGGAGCAAACGGG
rnacentral:rRNA from 1 species